GUGCCAGCAGCCGCGGUAAUACGGAGGAUGCAAGCGUUAUCCGGAAUCAUUGGGCGUAAAGAGUCCGUAGGUGGCACUUCAAGUCUGCUUUCAAAGACCGAAGCUCAACUUCGGAAAGGGAGUGGAAACUGAAGAGCUAGAGUAUAGUAGGGGUAGAGGGAAUUCCUAGUGUAGCGGUGAAAUGCGUAGAGAUUAGGAAGAACACCAGUGGCGAAGGCGCUCUACUGGGCAUAUACUGACACUGAGGGACGAAAGCUAGGGGAGCGAAAGGGAUUAGAUACCCCUGUAGUCCUAGCUGUAAACGAUGGACACUAGGCGUUGGACGUAUCGACCCGUUCAGUGCCGUAGCUAACGCGUUAAGUGUCCCGCCUGGGGAGUACGCACGCAAGUGUAAAACUUAAAGGAAUUGACGGGG
rnacentral:rRNA from 1 species